rnacentral:snRNA from 1 species
GUAUGUACCUUGUUGGGGAGAGACCAUAAUUAAAAAAGUGGUUUUCCCAAGAGUAAGCUCAUGUAUUACCCUUCAGAUGUGCUGACCCUAUGAUUUCCACUAACAGGAGAAACUUAACUGCAUAAUAUAUGGUAAAGUACUC